AACAUUACCUUAGAAGAAGUGAAACUAAACAGACUUUGAACUGUAUGGUUUAUGACUUACAGGAGUAUUCAGGGAAAGAGUAGUGAUGGCAUGUACCCUCAAAACACAUCAACAAACAGAGAUGUGACAAAGGAAGCGAAAUAACAGCCCAGGAGAAAGGGCAGAUGUCCCCAAGGCCUGUGGCUUCACCUGCUCUCAAGAGGAUCGGGUGAGUUGCAGUUCUUCUGCAGAGGAGCAAGCAGGUGGGCAAAGAGGUACAGGUGGAUGUCCCUAUCCCAGACAAAAGAGACAGGUGCUGUUUAUAUGUCCGGGGGGUCAUAGCGCUCCAAGUUUCAUUCAUUCUGCUAAUACUGACUGAAUGCCCACAAUCUGCAAAGCAUAGCCUACAGAUGAAAGAUAAAAGAACAAAAGGAC
rnacentral:lncRNA from 1 species